ACAUGUUGCAACAGGACCCAUAAGAGGAUAGAUAACACAAGUAAGAUGGCGUGGGGGACAAAGAUCAACAUGCCUGUCUGAGGCUCUCUGCCCCGGCCUGGAAGAGAAAACACCCGCCAGCCUAGCGCCUUGAAGGUCUUCAUUAUGACUAAAGUUAUCAAAACUUCAGAAGGGAAAUUUGAACUACCCUAUGACUAAAAAGCUCUCCUUGUUCUGGAUAUGGCACUACUCUCGGGGUGGAUCCACACCACAUUAACCCUCUGGCUGUGUCCUCACUGAUAUCCCCAGAGGUUGUUUUGGGUCAGAGUGUUUGAUCAGAGCAACGGGAAGGAAAACUGAACACCACGACAUAAAUCUGCCUGGGCCUGAUAGUCCAGAGAGAAGGAAGACAUGUAGAGAUGACCAGAACAAAGCUUGCUGCUUGAAGAGGGUGUAGCCUAUUCACCCAAAGUCCAACUGUUCCACACAUCUAUGCACAAGCUGGGUUUUGCUGAACCUGGACAAGCCACGUCAUCACAUCCAUGUGCUCUCUCCAGUAUAUUUCUCUGCAAGUGAGCAUCACUGGAGUAUGAAAAUAGACCAAGAUCUUGUCAGAAUGCACGGGAGAGGAUGCCGAGAGUGGACUCACUUGGCAUGCAAGGAAAAGUAGAAAUGAUACCCAUGGUGGAAGGAUCCAGAAUCAGAGCACACCUAGUAGAAGCAGGAGUUCAGAGCCCACAGAUGAACUGAGAGCAGAGAAAUCAAGCCAUCAUGGACUACUUGCAUAGCUUACCUCGUGAGCAACCAACAGAAGUCUUUCUUUCCUUGUUUGUUUUCUAUUAUGGAAAGAAGAGAAAAUGUUCUGCUCCAAUCCAAAAAUUCCUUCCUGCCAUUUAUAUUCCUGUUGACCAAGGACUUAUCUCCCCUCGGGGGCUGUCACUCAGUUAAAGCAGAGAAAGGAUCCAAAGAAGUUUUACUUCCAGAACUUACUGGCUUCCUCAGGCCCUUGUGGCUCAGAGCCCAAGGGAGUGAAGCAUGUUUGGAGAAGAGCUUUCAGGAGCUUUAAGAAAGUACUCUCCCCAGAGACUGGGAAAUAAAAAACAAGAACCUAUAAGAAAACAAGUAAUGCUUAUCCCUGUUGAAGUAUGCCUCGUGCUCAAGUUAAGCAAGAUUUUGGUGAGCAAAUCACACCAAAGCACAUAGAGCAGGUGUGGAGUUCGUGUGGCUAGAAACUCAAAGCCAGGCUAUCAUGGUCAGCAAGAGGCAGCCAUCUCCACUCUGGUCCCCAGUACGGCUACCCGGCUUAUUAUUUUCAGUGUAUGCAUGGCAAUUGAAGGGAAGGAAGAAGCCUUGCUGUGCCUGAGGACAGAUAAAACAGAAGAAGAAGAUGGCCUGCACUCACUCUGUGUUCUAACCUCUGGAAACACAAAGACCUUGUUUAUUAACAUUUAUUAAGGCACCCUGACAAUGGUCACAACUCUCCUAUGGAAGGAUCCAGAAAACUAAUGGAAAAGGAGACCAAACUUACUGCAUAUUGCUUUCUCCUCUUUGCAUGUAAAACAGGCUUGUCUUAUGCAACUUUACUAAUAUUUUAGAACAAAAAAUCCUUCAUUGUGAGAAAUUGCCUUGUGUGUUAUGGGCUGCCCUGUAUAUUAUGGGUUGUCUUACAUGUUGUGAAAUGCCCUGUGUGUUGUGGGCUGCCCUGGGUACCAUUAACUGUUUUGUAUCAUUCAUAGCCUUUCCUCACUAGAUACCACUAACAGCCCCUUUCCAAGAUGUCACAAAUGUGUCACCUCCAACAAUACCAGUGUCCCUUGUGUCGGGACAAAGUCCCCUGGGUUUGGAAACUGUUGAUCAACACAGAAACACAAGUAGAAUGUUAUCUCGGUGUCACUGUGUUGCUUAUCUAAUAAGGAGAGAGAGAGCUCAAUCCAUAAAGUGUGUACAAUGAACAGUGGGAGGAGACUUGGGAUAUCAAGUGUUACUCGGGCUGACAGCUACCUUUCAAAUGGAAGAUAAUGUCCAAGCAGAAAACAAAGCAUGACUGUAUAUAGCUAGAAAAUAACAAGACUUGUUUUGCAGGGCAUCCUGGCUGGAGCUGUCUUAGAGGAUGCAUGGUCACUGAACACUAAGUAAUCUAUGCUUCCCAUCACUUCCGUUGACAGAAAACACAACUUUUGCUUCAAUAAGAAUAAAAGAAGUUACACAGGUGACAAUGAACUAGAAACAUGGGUUCAGGUGGGGACAUCAGUAGGCAGGUGCAAAGUGUAUGGAGUGUGUAUGUGUGGGUGGGAGGUGUUUUCUAUAGGUCUCAGACGCUAGCUAAGGGCAUUCUUGGCUUUCCAGUGGGUGAAAGUUAGUGGUCUGUAAAGACAUUCCAAGCAUUUUUAUCUGAUAAUGAAUGGUUGUGAGGUCAGUCACAGAGGUGGGCGGCAAAUGGCUAUUGAGGAAUGUAAAGACAACUUAAUACUAUUUUGAUCCUUGAUCUUCAACAUUCCAACUCUCCUUCCGGGAACUUUAGUUUAUACUUCCUCUCCUCAGAUGUAGGGGAACAGGAAAGUAAUUCAGACUCAUCAGACAUGGGGCUCAUAAAUCAGAAAAGAAUUGCAAUAAAAACAUUUAAAAAAAAUUUUGGAAUCUCCAGUAUCUUUUGUUAUUUAUGAUGAGUAGCCUACAUUUAUGCUAAUGAAAUGACUUAUAGUAGAACCUUGGAGAAUUUCCAAGGAGGGCUAGUAAGCCCAUGCUUGGAGGGUUGGAGUUUUCAGCUUUGCAUGACUUCUGCCUGGGAGAGG